rnacentral:rRNA from 1 species
GAUGAACGCUGGCGGCGUGCCUAAUACAUGCAAGUCGAGCGAACAGACGAGGAGCUUGCUCCUCUGACGUUAGCGGCGGACGGGUGAGUAACACGUGGAUAACCUACCUAUAAGACUGUGAUAACUUCGGGAAACCGGAGCUAAUACCGGAUAAUAUAUUGAACCGCAUGGUUCAAUAGUGAAAGACGGUUUUGCUGUCACUUAUAGAUGGAUCCGCACCGCAUUAGCUAGUUGGUAAGGUAACGGCUUACCAAGGCAACGAUGCGUAGCCGACCUGAGAGGGUGAUCGGCCACACUGGAACUGAGACACGGUCAAGACUCCUACGGGAGGCAGCAGUAGGGAAUCUUCCGAAAUGGGCGAAAGCCUGACGGAGCAACGCCGCGUGAGUGAUGAAGGUCUUCGGAUCGUAAAACUCUGUUAUUAGGGAAGAACAAAUGUGUAAGUAACUAUGCACGUCUUGACGGUACCUAAUCAGAAAGCCACGGCUAACUACGUG